AUGAUGUCACUGAGAACUGCCGUAGACUACCUGCUGUACAGAUUUCCUUACAUUGACCAGAUUUGAGGGUGACACUUUCAGAAGAGUCUCCUGUUUAAGAGUGGAAACCUUUACAUACUAAAUCUCUCUAAAGGACCUUUUAUACUUGACAAAAAGAAUGAAGGUCAUGAUGCCUAAUGAUGAUGUCACUGAAAACUCUCAUGGACUACCUGAUGAACAACUUUCCUUACAUUGACAAGAUUCAAGUUUGCACUUUAAAGGCUCCACCAAGGGACGACUGACACUGAAGCAGACGCGCACGGUCAAAUAUCAGAUGGAGCUCAGUGAGUCUCACUGAAGAACUGAAGGAAGGACUGAGAGAGGUUCUUCUUGAAAUUGUUUGAAGAAGUGAAAACUGGUAUGUGUUUAUUUGUUCACAUUCAUAAAGCAUGGCCAUUGCUCUAGUGAUGGACAGAUGGCACAACUUUUAAGAGGCAAACUGACUUUCUUCCCA